UACGGAGGAUGCAAGCGUUAUCCGGAAUGAUUGGGCGUAAAGCGUCCGCAGGUGGCUGUGUAAGUCUGCUGUUAAAGCGUCUAGCUCAACUAGAUAAGAGCAGUGGAAACUACACGGCUAGAGUACGUUCGGGGCAGAGGGAAUUCCUGGUGUAGCGGUGAAAUGCGUAGAGAUCAGGAAGAACACCGGUGGCGAAGGCGCUCUGCUAGGCCGAAACUGACACUGAGGGACGAAAGCUAGGGGAGCGAAUGGG
rnacentral:rRNA from 1 species